UGUCACAGUACCACAAGGGCAUUGCAAAGCAAAUUACGAAGGAAGUGGUGCUGGUUCUGUACUAACACUUUCUGUUUAACUUAGCAACAGAAACAACAUGCAGUGCUUCUACAUUCCAUAGCCCAGGACUCUGGAAUGCCAGCAGGGCUUCUGGGGUUUGGAUUUUCUGCUGUUGGAUGGCAGCCUACAAAAAGUGAAAACAGAAAACAAGGAAUGCUUGUAAGAGGCCUUUACACACCAGACAUGAAAUGCUGGAAACCAGAGGGGACAAAAGACAGGUUCAUUGGCUAGCAUGUCAGAAGGCUGUUCUGCUGCUGGAGAAAGCAAUUGGAUCUUCAUUCAUUCACUUGAGGCACCCCUGCUCUGUCAGCACAUGAAAAGCAACAGAAGGAGCAAGAUGAACAAUGACACACAGAUUCUUUGAAAAUGUGCAGUUAUGCAAAAAACAUUCCAGG